rnacentral:tRNA from 1 species
GCUAGCGUAGCUUAAUACAAAGCAUAACACUGAAGCUGUUAAGAUGGGCCCUGAGAAGCUCCGCAUGCA